rnacentral:rRNA from 1 species
UACGGAGGUGGCAAGCGUUGUUCGGAAUUACUGGGCGUAAAGGGCGCGUAGGCGGCCUUCUAAGUCAGACGUGAAAUCCCCCGGCUUAACCUGGGAACUGCGUCUGAUACUGGGAGGCUAGAGUGCGGGAGAGGGAUGCGGAAUUCCAGGUGUAGCGGUGAAAUGCGUAGAUAUCUGGAGGAACACCGGUGGCGAAGGCGGCAUCCUGGACCGACACUGACGCUGAGGCGCGAAAGCUAGGGUAGCAAACGGG